rnacentral:rRNA from 1 species
GACAGAGGUGCCGAGCGUUAGGCGGAAUCACUGGGCUUAAAGCGUGUGUAAGCGGGUCGUUUAAGUACCUUGUGAAAUCCCCCGGCUCAACCGGGGAAUGGCUGGGUAUACUGGCGAUCUUGAGCGAUCCAGGGGCAGAUGGAACAAGUGGUGGAGCGGUGAAAUGCGUAGAUAUCACUUGGAACGCCAAAGGUGAAGACAGUCUGCUGGGGAUCUGCUGACGCUGAGACACGAAAGCCAGGGGAGCGAACGGG